CUCUCGCUAAACAAGACACUUCACACUUGUACAGUUAUGUCUGUCGCUGACAUGUGACAGGAUACAGCAUUUUGUUCUGCCAUAUAAAGAAACUGACUUAUUCAACUUUUAUCAUAUGGGAAACAACAGUUUAAAGCAUACUCUGCAGUAGUUCCUGGGGUUUUUGCCCCUGGUCCAUGCUGUAGUCUAGAGAUGCGACCCAUCCCAGCAGCCCUGGACGCAACAGUUGGGCUCGAGGUAGAAUACACAUCUGACACAUUUUGGUACUCAGCAACUUCAGCACAACACUUGCCAUCACUAUGUUGUUCACAUCACUACAACAUCACAAUAAAACAUUCAUAUUUU